rnacentral:rRNA from 1 species
UACAGAGGUCCCAAGCGUUGUUCGGAUUCACUGGGCGUAAAGGGUGCGUAGGUGGUCGGGUAAGUUUAAGGUGAAAGCUCCGGGCUCAACCCGGAAAUGGCCUUGAAUACUAUCCGGCUCGAGGGUUGGAGGGGGGACUGGAAUUCUCGGUGUAGCAGUGAAAUGCGUAGAUAUCGAGAGGAACACCAGUGGCGAAGGCGAGUCCCUGGACAACACCUGACACUGAGGCACGAAAGCUAGGGGAUCAAACGGG